rnacentral:rRNA from 1 species
AAAGAGUGCGUAAUAGCUCACUAGUCGAGAGGUUCUGCGCCGAAAAUGUCCGGGGCUAAAACACUACACCGAAGCCAAGGGAUGACGAAAGUCAUCGGUAGAGGAGCAAUCUUACCGACGCAGAAGCCAUACCGAAAGGAGUGGUGGAGAAGUAAGAAGAGAGAAUGCCGGAAUGAGUAGCGAGAGUGAGGUGAGAAUCCUCACGGCCAAAUACCCAAGGAUUCCAGAGUAAAGCUGAUCUGCUCUGGGUAAGUCGGGACCUAAGGCGAGGGAGAAAUCCGUAGUCGAUGGACAUCAGGUAUAGAAUCCUGAACUGCAUAUAAUCAGAAAUGUGGGGACACAGAAACUAAAGUCGAACCCGGGAGAGCAAAGACCGGGAUAAGCGAGGUAGCAGGUGGUAGGAAAAACCGCCACGAAAUGCGAAUGCGUGAUAUGUAGCGAAGAAAAGUAGCGAAGUCGAAUAGGGAGCUGUCAAGAAAAGCCGCUAUAGCGUUAUAUGUACCCGUACCGAAAACCGACACAGGUGGGUGAGGAGAGAAUCCUAAGGCCGGCGGGAGAAGCAUUGUUAAGGAACUCGGCAAAAUGACCCCGUAACUUCGGGAGAAGGGGUACCGAAAGGUCACAGAAAAAAGGCUCAAGCAACUGUUUAGCAAAAACACAGGUCUAUGCGAAACCGAAAGGUGAAGUAUAUGGGCUGACGCCUGCCCGGUGCUGGAAGGUUAAGAGGAGAGGUUAGGCAACGAAGCUUUGAAUCUAAGCCCCAGUAAACGGCGGCCGUAACUAUAACGGUCCUAAGGUAGCGAAAUUCCUUGUCGGGUAAGUUCCGACCCGCACGAAAGGCGUAAUGAUUUGAGCGCUGUCUCAACAAUGCACCCGGUGAAAUUGAAGUACCAGUGAAGAUGCUGGUUACCUGCGCCAGGACGGAAAGACCCCAUGGAGCUUUACUCUAGUUUGAUACUGGGGUUUGAUGAUGCAUGUACAGGAUAGGUGGGAGACUGCGAGGCGAGGACGCCAGUUUUCGCGGAGUCACUGUUGGGAUACCACCCUUGUAUCAUUGAAUUUCUAACCCGUGGCCGUAAGCCGGUCAGGGGACAAUGUCAGAUGGGGAGUUUGACUGGGGCGGUCGCCUCCGAAAGAGUAUCGGAGGCGCUCAAAGGUUCCCUCAGAAUGGUCGGAAACCAUUCAAAGAGUGCAAAGGCAGAAGGGAGCUUGACUGCGACACCGACGGGUGGAGCAGGUACGAAAGUAGGACUUAGUGAUCCGGUGGUAUGUAAGUGGGAAUGCCAUCGCUCAACGGAUAAAAGCUACCCUGGGGAUAACAGGCUUAUCACUCCCAAGAGUUCACAUCGACGGAGUGGUUUGGCACCUCGAUGUCGGCUCAUCGCAUCCUGGGGCUGAAGUCGGUCCCAAGGGUUGGGCUGUUCGCCCAUUAAAGCGGUACGCGAGCUGGGUUCAGAACGUCGUGAGACAGUUCGGUCCCUAUCCGGCGUGGGCGUAAGAUAUUUGAGAGGAGCUGUCCUUAGUACGAGAGGACCGGGAUGGACUGACCACUGGUGUACCUGUUGGGUAGCAGACCCACGGCAGGGUAGCCAAGUCGGGAACGGAUAAACGCUGAAGGCAUCUAAGCGUGAAGCCGACCUCAAGAUGAGAUAUCUCAUGCGAAAGCAGUAAGACCCCUUAAAGACAAUGAGGUAGAUAGGGCUAAGGUGUAAGUGCAGAAAUGCAUUAAGCUGAUAGUUACUAAUCGGUCGAGGGUUUAACCA